UGGGCAUCCAUCAGUCAGUGACCAAAGCAAUAUGAAUGUUACGAGUGUCCCUUCGGUGUGGGGGUGUAGUGACAUCUAGUGGACAACCUGUUGAUUGAUGUCUGACCUCAAAUGACACUGCAGAAUUUGGUGAUUCUUGAAAAGACACCGGAGAAAUGAAAGCGAAAAUAUAAAUAUGAAUUUGCUACAUUCUCAUGAUCAAAGAAAGUUCCCUCAACUUAUGUUUUGUAUAUUUUUUGAGACUUUUUCACAUUAAAAUGCAGUCUUGGGGACUGGAGACGCUCACUAGAGAUGGGAAUGGUUGUUCUGGAUCCGAUCCUGAUGGGAAAAUCGGG
rnacentral:lncRNA from 1 species